AUCAUAUACGUUCAUUUAUAGUUUCCAUGGGGUAGAAUACUAUAUCUUCUCUUCCCUUGCUAUAUUCAGCUUACAAUUCCAAAUAUCAUGGACUUCAAUCUCUCCAAAAGGCCUAUCCAAUGCUUUUCUCUGCUACUUUUCUUGUUGUUGCUUCUGAUAGCCACGGAUAGCACAGAAGCUUCAUCUCCAAGCAAUUCUGAUCCUGGUCCUGUGAAACCAACAACCCCUUUAGUCACUUUCCUAGAACGUGUCCAACAACUGGCAUUUUACACCUUUGGAGAAUCCAACUUCGACCCAAAACUCUACGUUGACUUGUCGUUGAAGUUCAAUUUGGAAGACGCAGAGAAGGCUUUUGAUAAGCUUCCAAGGUCUGGAAAUGGGAAAGUGUCUGUUAAAGAUUUGAGAGGGUAUAUUGGGAAAUAUUUUGAGGCUGCUGGGGAUGACGUGGUGUAUGCAGAGCCAGAGGAUUUUGUCCCUGAGCCAGAGGGGUUUUUGCCUAAGGUGAAGAACCAAGAAGUGAGGGCUUGGGCUUUGGAGGUUCAUUCUCUUUGGAAGAAUUUGAGCCGCAGAGUCUCCAGUGAGACACACAAACAUCCUGAGUUGCAUACUCUUCUUCCUUUGCCUAAGCAGGUCAUAAUUCCUGGUUCAAGAUUUAGAGAGGUCUACUAUUGGGAUUCUUAUUGGAUAAUAAGGGGAUUGCUAGCAAGUAAAAUGCAUGAUACAGCUAAAGCAAUUGUGACUAAUCUAAUUUCCCUUAUAGAAGAAUAUGGUUUCGUUCUUAAUGGUGCAAGGGCUUAUUACAGUAACAGGAGCGAGCCACCACUCCUAAGUGCAAUGGUUUAUGAAAUAUACAAGAGGACUGGAGAUUUGGAAUUUGCUAAAAAGUGUCUUCCUGCACUGAUCAAGGAACACCAAUUUUGGAAUUCAGAAAUACACAAGGUGACCAUUCAGGAUGCUCAGGCUUGCACUCAUACUUUAAGUCGAUACUAUGCAAUGUGGAAUGAACCGAGGCCUGAAUCUUCGACGCUUGAUGAGAAAUUUGCUUCGAAGAUCCCAGAUGUGGAAAAGAAACAUUUUUUUCGUGAAGUGGCUUCAACUGCGGAGUCUGGUUGGGAUUUUAGUACAAGAUGGAUGAGAAACACCACAGAUUUUACAACACUGGCCACUACAUCAAUCUUACCAGCUGAUUUAAAUGCUUUCAUUCUCGGGAUGGAACUCAAUAUUGCAUCAUUGGCGAAAGCAAUAGGAGACUAUAACAUCUCUAAGCACUUUCUCAAAGCUUCUCAGGCUAGAGAAAAAGCAAUAAGAUCUGUUUUCUGGAAUGCAGAUAAGGGACAGUGGCUUGACUACUGGCUUGCCAAUGGCACAUGGAAGGAAGCUGAAAAAUGGGAAGCUCGGAACCAGAAUCCGAAAGUAUUUGCUUCAAAUUUCAUUCCUUUGUGGAUUAAAUCGUUUUAUUCAGAUACUAUUCUGGUGGACAAAGUCAGAAGGAGUCUCCAAAGUUCUGGUUUGCUACGUUCUGUUGGUAUUGCAACAUCUCUGACAAAGUCAGGACAACAAUGGGACUUCCCGAAUGGUUGGGCUCCACUACAACACAUGAUAGUUGAAGGUUUGGCAAGAUCAGGAUCAAAACAAGCAAGGUCAUUAGCAAUGGACAUUGCUGUGGGAUGGAUCAGAACCAAUCAUGUUGCAUAUAAGAAAACCAGCGCCAUGCACGAAAAAUACAAUGUCGAAAAGUGUGGAGAUUUUGGAGGUGGUGGUGAAUACAUACCCCAGACUGGUUUUGGGUGGUCAAAUGGAGUAGUAUUGACAUUCUUGGAGGAGUUUGGAUGGCCUGAAGACCUAAACAUAGACUGUUGACAGGCUUUCCAACCAAAGCAGAUGAUUUCUUUUUCUCAAACUGCAAACAAUCGGUUUAGGAGUUGAAGUCCAUGUAUUGCCACGAGUUUUUGCCUGGCGGAAUCUAUAGUUAGGUCAAUAUCUUUCCCCAUGUGCUUCUUAAAAAGAAAACUGUUGUCCUUCAUUUCUAUUUUGGAUUUUAUACACACAA